CCUACGGGAGGCUGCAGUGGGGAAUAUUGGACAAUGGGCGAAAGCCUGAUCCAGCCAUGCCGCGUGUGUGAAGAAGGCCUUCGGGUUGUAAAGCACUUUCAGUGGGGAAGAAAGCCUUGGGGCUAAUACCCUCGAGGAAGGACAUCACCCACAGAAGAAGCACCGGCUAACUCCGUGCCAGCAGCCGCGGUAAUACGGAGGGUGCGAGCGUUAAUCGGAAUUACUGGGCGUAAAGCGCGCGUAGGCGGUCUGAUAAGCCGGUUGUGAAAGCCCCGGGCUCAACCUGGGAACGGCAUCCGGAACUGUCAGGCUAGAGUGCAGGAGAGGAAGGUAGAAUUCCCGGUGUAGCGGUGAAAUGCGUAGAGAUCUGGAGGAAUACCAGUGGCGAAGGCGGCCUUCUGGACUGACACUGACGCUGAGGUGCGAAAGCGUGGGUAGCAAACAGGAUUAGAUACCCCUGUAGUC
rnacentral:rRNA from 1 species